rnacentral:rRNA from 1 species
GACGAACGCUGGCGGCGUGCCUAACACAUGCAAGUCGAACGGUAAGGCCCUUCGGGGUACUCGAGUGGCGAACGGGUGAGUAACACGUGGGUGAUCUGCCCUGCACUUCGGGAUAAGCCUGGGAAACUGGGUCUAAUACCGGAUAGGACCACUGCCUGCAUGGGUGGUGGUGGAAAGCUUUUGCGGUGUGGGAUGGGCCCGCGGCCUAUCAGCUUGUUGGUGGGGUGAUGGCCUACCAAGGCGACGACGGGUAGCCGGCCUGAGAGGGUGACCGGCCACACUGAGACUGAGAUACGGCCCAGACUCCUACGGGAGGCAGCAGUGGGGAAUAUUGCACAAUGGGCGCAAGCCUGAUGCAGCGACGCCGCGUGAGGGAUGACGGCCUUCGGGUUGUAAACCUCUUUCAGCACCGACGAAGCGCAAGUGACGGUAGGUGCAGAAGAAGGACCGGCCAACUACGUGCCAGCCGCCGCCGUAA